AUUUAUGGAGAGUUUGAUCCUGGCUCAGGAUGAACGCUGGCGGCGUGCCUAAUACAUGCAAGUCGAGCGAACAGAUAAGGAGCUUGCUCCUUUGACGUUAGCGGCGGACGGGUGAGUAACACGUGGGUAACCUACCUAUAAGACUGGGAUAACUUCGGGAAACCGGAGCUAAUACCGGAUAACAUUUGGAACCGCAUGGUUCUAAAGUGAAAGAUGGUUUUGCUAUCACUUAUAGAUGGACCCGCGCCGUAUUAGCUAGUUGGUAAGGUAACGGCUUACCAAGGCGACGAUACGUAGCCGACCUGAGAGGGUGAUCGGCCACACUGGAACUGAGACACGGUCCAGACUCCUACGGGAGGCAGCAGUAGGGAAUCUUCCGCAA
rnacentral:rRNA from 1 species